rnacentral:misc_RNA from 1 species
GAUGAAGAACGUAGCGAAAUGCGAUAAGUAGUGUGAAUUGCAGAAUUCAGUGAAUCAUCGAAUCUUUGAACGCACAUUGCGGCCAUAGGUAUUCCUUUGGCCAUGCCUGUUCGAGCGUCAUUUACACCCUCAAGCCUAGCUUGGUGUUGGGCGCCUGUCCCGCCGUUUUCGCGCGCGGACUCGCCUCAAAGUCAUUGGCGGCGGUCGUGCCGGCCCCCUCGCGCAGCACAUUUGCGCUUCUCGGAGGCCCGGCGGAUCCGCGCUCCAGCAAGACCUUUCACGACUUGACCUCGGAUCAGGUAGGGAUACCCGCUGAACUUAAGCAUAUCUAAGCGGAGGA